UGUAUUUACUUGAAACAGGUUGUUGUGGAAAGAAUUAAAAACAAUGUCAUAGGUGACAAGAUUGAUCCAAAAGUUGUACUAAAUUUGGAUCCUGGUCUUGGUGUUUUGGAUGCAUUUUUUGCCAGUUUGUCAAUGAUUCUUGUCAGUGAGAUUGGAGAUGAAACUUUUAUUAUAGCAGCUCUUAUGGCAAUGCAUCAUCCAAAGUCAAUUGUUCUAUCAGGUGCACUCAGUGCUCUGUUUGUAAUGACUAUACUUUCUACAGGGCUUGGUAGGAUUGUUCCAAAUCUAAUAUCAAGGAAACACACAAACAGUGUUGCUACAGGUAUGUAU